rnacentral:rRNA from 1 species
GACGUAGGGGGCGAGCGUUGUCCGGAUUUAUUGGGCGUAAAGCGCGCGCAGGCGGUUCGGAAAGUCGGAUGUGAAAGUCCGGGGCUCAACUCCGGAUCUGCGGUGGGUACGGGCAGACUAGAGUGAUGUAGGGGAGACUGGAAUUCCUGGUGUAGCGGUGAAAUGCGCAGAUAUCAGGAGGAACACCAAUGGCGAAGGCAGAUCUCUGGGCCGUAACUGACGCUGAGGAGCGAAAGCAUGGGGGAGCGAACAGG